AUUACCGCGGCUGCUGGCACAGAGUUAGCCGGUGCUUAUUCUGUCGGUAACGUCAAGACAGCAAGGUAUUCGCUGACUGCCCUUCCUCCCAACUUAAAGUGCUUUACAAUCCGAAGACCUUCUUCACACACGCGGCAUGGCUGGAUCAGGCUUUCGCCCAUUGUCCAAUAUUCCCCACUGCUGCCUCCCGUAGGAGUCUGGACCGUGUCUCAGUUCCAGUGUGACUGAUCAUCCUCUCAGACCAGUUACGGAUCGUCGCCUUGGUGAGCCAUUACCUCACCAACUAGCUAAUCCGACCUAGGCUCAUCUGAUAGCGCAAGGCCCGAAGGUCCCCUGCUUUCUCCCGUAGGACGUAUGCGGUAUUAGCGUUCCUUUCGAAACGUUGUCCCCCACUACCAGGCAGAUUCCUAGGCAUUACUCACCCGUCCGCCGCUGAAUUCAGGAGCAAGCUCCUGUCAUCCGCUCGACUUGCAUGUGUUAGGCCUGCCGCCAGCGUUCAAUCUGAGCCAGGAUCAAACUCU
rnacentral:rRNA from 1 species